rnacentral:lncRNA from 1 species
AACAUUGUCCUGCAACUACCAAGGAGAUCUACCACUCCCAACACCAUGAGCUACUACAGCGGCUACUACGGAGGUCUGGGCUAUGGUGGCUUCGGAGGCCUGGGCUGUGGCUAUGGCUGUGGAUGUAACAGCAUCAGCAGACUAGGCUAUGGCUGUGGCUAUGGAGGCUUUGGAUAUGGCUCUGGCUGUGGAAGCUACGGAUACGGCUCUGGCUACGGAGGCUACGGAGGCUACGGAUAUGGCUGCUGCCGCCCUUCCUGCUGUGGGGGAUAUGGGUUCUCCAGCUUCUAUUGAAUAAAUAUUUGAACCUACAACCCAUGGAUUAGUCUUCCAGGGUGCCUUGAGUUUGUAAGAAUCUUUAUCCUAUGACCUUCAUACUUUGUUUAUUCUGUAUCUAUUAUUUUGCUUCCUUCUGGAAUGAAAGUUUUGUGUAAAUACAUUUAUUAGAAUAUUAGAUAGGAGAAUAUUAGAUGAAGUCAAUAUUUUUGAGUGUUGAUCUUCAGGAACCCACUUCUAUUCUGUUGGGGUGUCAUUAUGUUCUCACAAACAUUAAUAAUAAAGUAUUUCUGACACAGUUCA